GAAUAUAGAAUUAUAAUAUACAUAAAUGAUUACUCCUGACAUUAUACUAUUCAGAUAUUAAUGCUUGAUUUCCUCUCUUCAUGGAAUUUCAAGUUUUGCUAUUCUAUUACAUUG
rfam:Brassica rapa chromosome A9, whole genome shotgun sequence.